rnacentral:rRNA from 1 species
CACCGCGGUCAUACGAUUAACCCAAGUUAAUAGACAUACGGCGUAAAACGUGUUAAGGAAAUUACCCACCUAAUAAAGUUAAAUCUUGGACUAUGCUGUAGAAAGCUUUAACCCAGACAAAAAUAAACCACGAAGGUGACUUUAGACGAUCCAACCACACGAUAGCUAAGGCA